GAUGAACGCUGGCGGCGUGCUUAACACAUGCAAGUCGAACGGUGAACACGGAGCUUGCUCUGUGGGAUCAGUGGCGAACGGGUGAGUAACACGUGAGCAACCUGCCCCUGACUCUGGGAUAAGCGCUGGAAACGGCGUCUAAUACUGGAUACGAACCACGAAGGCAUCUUCAGUGGUUGGAAAGAAUUUCGGUUGGGGAUGGGCUCGCGGCCUAUCAGCUUGUUGGUGAGGUAAUGGCUCACCAAGGCGUCGACGGGUAGCCGGCCUGAGAGGGGAACCGGCCACACUGGGACUGAGACACGGCCCAGACUCCUACGGGAGGCAGCAGUGGGGAAUAUUGCACAAUGGGCGAAAGCCUGAUGCAGCAACGCCGCGUGAGGGAUGACGGCCUUCGGGUUGUAAACCUCUUUUAGCAGGGAAGAAGCGAAAGUGACGGUACCUGCAGAAAAAGCGCCGGCUAACUACGUGCCAGCCGCCGCGGUAAUAC
rnacentral:rRNA from 1 species